UCGGUUUGUAGUUGUGAUUUCGACGUGCAUUGCAACGGAUAUUUCACAAGGCCGAGUUUGCCGUCGCUCGAGAGAGGCUGAGGGUGAUAGUAUGAUAUAAUGCGUGGCUCCGUGGCUCCGAGGAAGGGACGGGAAUGGCCUCCCUCUCCCGCUGUUGAUGAGAAAAAUGGCGGGAGCACUUCACUGUCCUGAACGUUCCUAGAAGUUGGCUAAAGUACCGAUAAAUACAGAGAUGAGCAACUCUUUCUAGACAUCAUUGAAUUCUACGUCUGCUACAUACAUUCUGAGGAAAAGUUAACAGAUACACACGUCGACAUUGCUCUACGUAAUUUGCGGAAGGUGCAGGCAAACUGGAACUAUACUUGGAGCCGUUACAGUGAUAAAUACAUCCACAACUACUACUAAUACCACAGGACUACUCCGUGAUAGAAAAAAGCUGCAACAAAGUUCUAAUAGGAAAAACAUUCUGGAAAAACAUAGCUCUACCAUCAGUCUUAUACGGAACCAAUGUGGUUAAUCUAACAGACGCAGAAAUAGAAAAAUUACAAAGAAUAGAGAAUGGGGUAUAUAGGAAAAUAUUAGGGGCAUGUAGAAGUACAGUAGUAGCCACAUUAAGGGGGGGAGAUAGAAGCUUCUUCAAUGAAAAGUAGAAUUAUGAGUGGGAAGAUAAGCUAUGUAAAUAAUACUUUAAAUGGACGGAAAGAGAUACUGAAGAAAAUAAUUACAGAUAUGCAAGAAAAGGAAAGAAAAUGGUGGAAAACAGUGGAAAAGUACAUGCAUGAAGUUAAAAUAAAUUUAAGAAAAUUAGAAGGAAUGUCCAGAACAGAAAUAAAGGACAAAGCCAGAAUAUGGGACACAGAGAGGUGGAAAGAAGAGUUGGAAAAUAAAGUGACUGUGGACAUAUAUAAAACGUGGAAAAGAGAAAUAAAAGAUGAAGAAAUUUAUGACAACUCUACGGGUUCAGUCCUUCUCUUCAAAGCCAGAACCAACUCUCUUAAUUUAAAUAUAGCAAAAAGGCACCAGAAGGAGAACACCUGUUGUUCUUUUUGCAAUGAUGCAGUAGAAGACGUAUUCCAUUUCCUUUUAUAUUGUGGUACAUAUAUAGAAGAACGUGUUAAAGCAAUAGGGCUACAACAACCCUAUGAAGAGAAGGAAAGUGGCGUAGUGGGAAAAUUUCUAUUUUCAGGUAACAACGAAAUAAGAAAAGAAACCAUAUACUUGAUGUGGAAAAAAAGAGAGAAAAAAAGGAAAGAGCUAAACAAAUAAAAAAAAAUACCCAAGAUUAAGAGGCGCCGUUGCAAAGGCAUUGCCUCGACCCAUAACUACUACUACUACUACUACUACUACGUCAUUCAAUCUGUGGUGGUGUGUCCAUUCUCCUUGGCCAACUGCCGGCGAGUGUGCUAUCGUAAAAUCGAGAUCCACACACUGGUAUUGUGGCAGUUUGUGAUUUGGUAAAGGUAUGUUAUUUCUUCUAUAACUAUAAUUUCACAAGGAAUCUUGGUAAUUGAGCAAUCACUGAAAUACUCCAAAUUUGUUUUAGGACUUCAUGCCUGUUUUUGUUAUUGCAUGUAGUUUAUAAAAACGUGUUUAGAGUAAAUUACUGUCUUCAGGUUUUUUAAUGCAUUCAGUAAAAUGUAGCACAUUACAAAGUAAAUUGCCUUUUCAUAGUUAAUUUUUAAAAUGAACCUUACCUCUUUGUUA